UCUCUGUCUCUUAGUUAAUGCAACGGUCAUUUUUUUUUUGAAUUCUCCGUAAUAAUCCAGCAUCUCUCUCUCUCUAAAUCUCAACAUUUUUCAAUCUCAAAUGAAAAUCUCUCUCUCUCUCUCUCUCUCUCUCUCUAGGAAGUAGAAGCAAUAAUACACUUUUAGCCGUUCAAAUUCUAUGUAAGAAGGUUUGAUUCUUCUUGUAAUCAUAUGGAAUUUCAAUUUCGAUCAAAGAGAGAAUCUUCAUGUCAUUCAAGUUCUCUAUAGUACCCAUCUCUUCCUCUCUCGCUAUAAAUAUAUAAUUUAUUCUUCUUCUUUCUGGAUUUUGCUUUUAUUUUGGUUAGUCUUUAACUUUUUGAUUUUUUUAAGUAUACUACAGACAUUUUCGUGUAAGCUUUGUCUCGUUUCUCUGUUUGAUGUGUUCUUUAAUUUUCUGUUCACUGUAACGUAUGAUUUCUUGAAUUUAUUAAGGGAUUGGAGGAUUUUCAGAGUUAAAGUUUGGAUCUUUUAGAUUUCACGCUCUAUCCAUGGCAGGCAAAUAAAUUCCCCAUUAACGUUUUCCCUUGUGCUCUUGAUGCACGUUAAAAGAUGCAAGCAGAUCAAUAAAUACGGUCAAUUGAACCAAAGGAGAGAGAUCAAAUUUCAAACUUGAUGGAAGUGAAAAUUAUGUUCGUUGGCAUUUGUCUCUUCCUUUGAAUUCUGAAUUUCUGCUCUGGGAAUAAAGGGAAUGGGAGCUGAUGGAGCAACACUUCAAUGUGGGGGUCAGUUUCUUUUCCUUUUGCUUUUCGAUUUCACUUUAAAGUCUUACUUCUGAUUUUAUUUGAAGAAAACCCAGCUAAGCUAAAAAUUUCAUGCUGCUUCUUUGAAUUGUGGGAUUCUUAUUUGAUUGGAAUAGGCAGGUGGGUUUGGGAGUGAUUUCUGCCUUGUCUUAUUUUCUUGAAGAGUUGUCCUUAAUUUUUCAUAACUAAACAAUGCUUUAUCACUGCUAUUUAUCCAAAAUCAAUUUUGAAUCUUCUGCCCAUCUUCUUUUUCAUGUGUUUUUGGGUUCUUUUCAUGUAUUUUUUUUAUUUAUAUAUAAAUAAAUACUUUUCUUGAUAGUAAAAUCGUUGAGAAAUUCGUAGAACCUAAGGAAUGAAGAGUCUAACAAUCAUCAAUUUGCCAUUCUCAUAGGGCCAGGGAUAUGGUAAAUUGAUUUGCUGAUGUGAUAUGAUAUGAUAUUUCUCUUUUUGACUUAUAUUUGGAAUUGAUUUUCUACAUAUACAUGAUUUUUUAGGUGAUUUAAUAUAUUGGUGAACUUGUCAGAUCUCUAAUAGAUGAUAAGAGAGAGCGCUUUGUAUACAAUGCAUUGAUGGUAUGCUUCUGUUGAGAAUGUUGUCAUUUCCUUACUCUUUGUAUGCAUGUAUUUGUCAUCUAGCACAACUACAAACUAUCAUCCUAAAACUAAUGUGAUUAUUUGUGAAAGUUUGACUGCUUACUGUGUUGAAGUCCUCUACAAAGCUGUUGAGAUCAAAGUUUACCUCUUCUUUUCCUUGUUGAUGUAGGGUGUGCUGGGACUUGUAUGUUUAGAUCAAACUUUAUAGCAUUUGAUUAAUCACAAGGGCUGAAAGUAUUGCUCAUCUAAUUAAUCACUCGUGUGAGGUGUGUAUCAUCUGUUCAUCCUGUUUAAUAGUCUUUCUAUUGCAUGUGAAAAUAUGUAUUGAAAAGGUCUAUGCCAUUUAUGAUUUAUAUAAAAGCUUUAUGAUUAAGUUUUGACAGAUAAAUUCAUUCAACUUUAUUGCAUUUUUUCAAACUUGCUUGAAUAUGAAAGGUCACAUGGAUAAUAUGCUUCUGAUGUUGUUAUUUAUAGAUUACAUUGUUGGUGUGGCUGUAGGGAAUUAUGUAUGUUGUGUCUCUUCCUUUGAUUUCUGAAUUCUUGCUCUGGAAUCAAGCGAAUGAGAGCUGAUGGAGCAACUCUUCAAUGUGUUGUUUUGUGUAUGCAAAUAUAAAAAUUGGUAUGUCGAGAGGAGGAUUAUUGAGGACAAAUUGAAAAUUCUUAAAAUUUGGUAUGUUGUAUAAUAGUUCUCUUAGGAUUUUCAGCAGUAUUGUGGACAUGGUUGAUGGUACUUCCUGAUAUUCUUUCUGGCAAAUUUCUCAAAGAGGACAUUAAUGUUUCAUGUUACCAUCUUCUAAGACACGAUAUUCUUUUGAGUUUGAUUCCCUUCA